rnacentral:rRNA from 1 species
CCUACGGGAGGCUGCAGUUAAGAAUAUUCCGCAAUGGACGAAAGUCUGACGGAGCGACGCCGCGUGGAUGAAGAAUGCCGAAAGGUUGUAAAAUCCUUUUAAGCCUGAUGAAUAAGUACAAUAGGGAAUGAUUGUGCGGUGACCGUAGGGCUUGAAUAAGCACCGGCUAAUUACGUGCCAGCAGCCGCGGUAACACGUAAGGUGCGAGCGUUGUUCGGAAUUAUUGGGCGUAAAGGGCAUGUAGGCGGAUAGGCAAGCUUGGUGUGAAAUGUUACAGCUUAACUGUGAGACAGCAUUGAGAACUGCAGAUCUUGAAUUACUGAAGGGUAACCAGAAUUCCACGUGUAGGGGUGAAAUCUGUAGAUAUGUGGAAGAAUACCAAUGGCGAAGGCAGGUUACCGGCAGAUAAUUGACGCUGAGGUGCGAAAGUGCGGGGAGCGAACAGGAUUAGAUACCCCAGUAGUC